rnacentral:rRNA from 1 species
UACGUAGGGUGCAAGCGUUUGUCCGGAAUUUAUUGGGCGUAAAGAGCUCGUAGGCGGUCUGUCGCGCCGGGAUGUGAAAAACCCAGGGCUCAACCCUGGGCCUGCAUUCGAUACGGGCAGACUAGAGUGCGGUAGGGGAGACUGGAAUUCCUGGUGUAGCGGUGGAAUGCGCAGAUAUCAGGAGGAACACCGAUGGCGAAAGGCAGGUCUCUGGGCCGCAAACUGACG